UACUGGAUAAAGGGGGGCAAGGCAGAAAAAAUUGAGACAACUUUAAUAGCAUACUCAAUGAUAUAUAAUUUUAAAAAUAAUAAAAAUAAAACAAUCUUACUGGCUUAAUGAGCUUUGGACCUACCACAGUAGGUGAAUAAAAGGGAAAAUCUUGGAAAGGAAAGAGUUAGGGGAAGGUAAGAAACAAAUGCUGUGUAUAAACUCUGCCCACUACCUAGCAGAACCCCUAACUACACUUGAGCAGUGGAUACUUUAAGAAACCAAAUAAAGGACAAACGGUGUGAACAGAAGUUUCAGCUGCUGCUCACAGCAGUAGAGAUAAAGUCUGGAAUUAGUUGCUUCAUAAAACAAAACAGAACAAAACAAAAAAAAUCA